UUGACCACGCUAUUGUGAUAAUCUUGGCCAGGAUCACUUUAUAUCAUGUUGAACCACCUUGGAAUUCGUAGAGACUUUUAUCAUCGAAGGAUGUACUCACAGAACACAAUGAGUGGGUUAUGCCUUUCUACACUUCUGUCCAUAGCAGUGGGAUAUGUUUUCUGCACUGCGCGGCUACCCUCUAAUGUCGCGAUGGCUGACGAAGAGAUCUCGGUUUAUGGCUCGCUAGGUUCAGCUAGUUCCACUAACAGCUGUCUCCGAGCACUUGCAUAGGUCAGCUGAUAUACGUCACGUCCCCUCUUUGGUUUUACUAGACUGCUGCAAAAAUAUGAUCAGUGUGACUCCGCAAUUUUUAUAAUCAAAGGAAGUACUCACAUAUGUAAACACUGAUAUAGGGUUUGUAGAUGCUUAGAGAUAGCAGUAAAUGAGUAGUAAUAUUUUGAUCCAGACAGUGUGAUGAUUUAAACUCUGUUUUCUAUAUGACCUUCAUGUAGUUGAUUGCUUUGUUUUCACUAUUGCUACUGCAUGAUUUGUUCAGAGAGAGUUGCCAACUGAGCUUAUAUUUUUGUUAACUUACUGAAUGAUAACCAGACUAACCUUGCCAUCUGUUUUUUGUCGAAAGAACUUGAAUUGUUUUCUGAACUUGCACUAAAUAUGUUCAUGUUUGUGUUCCAAUUGGAUGUUUUUUUUUGGUAACUGAUAUUUGAUUCCAGAUUAUCUAUUUUUUUUAAGUAGUACAUGUUCAUGUUUGCAUAUCAGUUGGAAGCCAAAAAUAUUUCUGUUAAAGUACUGCAAGAUAACCAGACUCACCUUUGCAUAUACAUUUUGUUCAAAAAAAUGAAUCAUGCACUGGACUUGCACUAAUUAUGUUCAUGUUUGUGUUUCCGUGGGAAGCAAAAUUCAUUUCUGGUAAAUUAAUGCAAGGUAACAAGACUCACCUUUGCAUAUAUAUUUUAGUUGAAAGAGAAUUGAACCAUAUAUGUUGUGUACCGAUAAAGUUAUAUAUUGGUUCCUUCUGUUGCUUUAUUUAGCUUCUAUUGGUUGUGUUUCUCACGAAAACUAACUUAUGUUGAGUUUCUAUUGGUUAUGUCUCUGUCCAGGUUGAGUUGAGCAUAUGUAUGCCUACCUCAGUCGAUGAGGUUUCUCUACCUUCGCUCUAUGACGCAGAUUGAUUUCUUUUCUAGGCUUUUACUGUAUCAUGUGGCUGUACCAUUGUUGCAUGUCUCUAAUUGUUUAUGUUGCUGAAAUCACAACCACUAAUACUAUGUUGUUGAUAGAUAGAAGAUUUUAGAAGCGCAUUGUUUCAGAAUUAAGAAAUUUAUGUCUCUGAUAUGGAAGUAUGUAUUAUGUUGUUGUUGCCAAGAUCUAGCAUUCUAAUUGUUGAUCCUUUUCUAGAGAAUAAGAUCCCAUGGUCAUUUAUGUUGUCACUGCGUAGGCGAAAAUAAUUAUGUGUGGUUUCAUGGACUCUUACCUUAUUGAUGGGCACCAUGCAGAGUUUGAGGAGAUGUAGGCCAGCGUGUGACCUCUCUCGCUUUUCAAGUCACCGCUGAGCCGCCUUCUUUGCUUCAGAGGCUUCUUGUGUCACCAUAGCAGAUCCGGCCGUGUGUCACAACAUGCAACCAAAUCAAAUGAAGGAGUGUGGACAAAGUUAUAUAUCAUUGGCCAUGCCGCCAAAUGCGAUCCAAAAUCGAGCGGAUGAAGGAUGACGCGAGGAGGCAGCAGCACGCAUGCUUGUGAGGAUGUCCUUGUUCGUCAUUCAGCAAGACAGGCAGGACACUCCCCCGAGCCAUAUCUGCAACCACCGCCUCCACCGCCAAAUCCACCCUUCACUAAACAAAUUAUGCGAAUGUUUGAGGAAAGAAGGAAUAAUGAUCUGAUUGAGUUAUUAAAAAGUUGGCAAGCUAUGGUUGGACAGAAUGGAAAUCCAAAUGGGCAUCACUCCCAGCUGUCAGAUUUUCAAAGGACUAAGCCUCCCAGUUUCAGUCAAGUGGUUGACACUUUGGAAGCAGAUGAUUGGUUGUGAUCCAUUGAGAAGAAACUUGAAGUUGCUCGCACUGAUGAAGCUGACAAGGUUCCGUUCGCUACCCAGUAUCUUGAAGGAGCUGCUGCUAUAUGGUGGGAUAAUUCUAAAGCUCUAUGGCCUGUGAGAGAAGAAAUUACAUGGAAUAAUUUCAAGGAACAAUUUCGUAAGUAUCAUAUUCCAGCUGGUAUCAUGAAGGUCAAGCGACGUGAAUUUCUUGGUCUCACUCAAGGCAGUCUGUCAGUAAGUGAAUAUUUGCACAAGUUCAACCAUCUGGCCUGUUAUUCCCUUUAUAAUGUGGCCACGGAAGAAAGAAAGAUCGACAGGUUCCUUGGAGGAUUAAAUCAACACCUAAGGAGUGCUCUCUACAUGCUCGACUUUCCAGAUUUUCAGUCUCUUGUGAACAAGGCUCUCAUUGCAGAAGGAGAAUGCAAGCCUGUGCAAGACAACCGCCCCGCAAAUAAUGACCACAAGCGCAAAUUUGAGCCAAAGAAGAACGGCAGCCCAUUCAGAAGGCCCGUACCUGGCAAUAGACUCAAGUGAAGUGUAAACCAAAUUGGCAGCAGAAUGUGAACAAGACCACUACUCAAGUCAAGAAUCUUGUGACCAGUCUAGUGCAUGAGGAACGUCAGCGCAACAACAACGUCUGCUUUAAUUGUGGCCUGACUGGACAUUAUGCCAAGCAGUGUCCCAAGAAGUCAAAUGCCCCGUUUCGGCCGCAAGUCAAUCACAUGGGGCCAUAUCAUAACCAGAAGCUCAUCCAAGGGCAAGUUCAUAAUCUCUCCGCGGAAGAAGCGCUGGAAAACCCCGAAGUCAUCAUUGUGGCAGCACCGGCGCAUGCGCUCGUCGCUGGCUCGGCUGCGUACCGCCGCCAACCAUAGCUUCAGCGGAUGGAAGAUGUAUGCCACAGCGUCUCUCCCGAUCUCUUUUUCCGAAUGGAUUUGAGGGAGCCUUCAGCCCUUCACAGGAACCUUUUCUUGGAUCUGAUACAGAAGAGAUUGAGAAUUGGGGACUAUUCAUUAGAGGGAUUAGAGUUGGUAUCGUGAUCUUCUGGAAGUAUGUGGUGGGAGAGAGAUGAUGGUAUAUUCAGUAGAGUCGAUAUCCAUUGCCAAAUGAAAAAGCACGAAUGGCCAUUUUGAGUCGCUUGGUGACAUGAUGAUUCGAGGAACAUGACCGGCAAACCCACCUUCAGUUUUAACUUAUGGUCUGGUAUUCCUGGAGACGUUAAGGUGUUGAGGAACUCAGUAGGCUGCAUGUUCAUCAUGAUGUUGGUAUUUGUCGUUGCCUUGCAGACUGUGUCCAGGCUUAGGUAAUCCUGCUCACGGUAUUUUUGCAGCAAAUUUGGGUAUAUGCUUUUAACGAUUUGUUCUUUACGAUUUUCUCCUUUCUCUAGCAGUAGGUCUUUUGGUAUUUUUAUCCAAUCCUCUCCUUCAUCUGAUGUUGUUUUCCCAUCGCCAAUCUGUAGUAUCCACUCUGCAAAUUCAGUGACCUUUUGCUUUUGUAUUGGAUCAUCUGACAAACACUUCAGCCGCAUGUUUUGUGUUAACUCAAAUAUUUCAAAGUGUUUCCACAGAUAUGAUCUUUUGAUUGAAGCAUUUACUAUCUGCUCUCUCCUUCCUUUGGUUAUAACUGGCAGGAUUUUUCUGAAGUCGCCUCCUAGUAUAACUGUCAUUCCACCAAAUGGCUUUUCAUCGCUGUUUACAUUAGUGAAUCUUAGAAUAUCUCUAAGGCUUUUGUCUAGUGCCUCAAAGCAGUGUUUGUUUGCCAUAGGAGCCUCAUCCCACAAUAUAAGUGAGGUCUUCUUUAGCAGUUCAGCCAAAUGCGAGCCUUGUUUUAUUUCACACGUUGAUUCUUCAGUGAUAUUAAGUGGAAUACGGAACCUUGAGUGUGAUGUUCUUCCACCUUGGAGAAGCAACGCUGCAAUGCCACAUGAUGCUACCGCAAGCACUAUCUUCCCCUCUGAUCUGAGCUUUGUCGUUAUUGCUUUCCAUAGAUAGGUUUUUCCUGUGCCACCGUAGCCUUCGACAAAUAUCUGCUUUCCUAGGCCUUUGUGGACUGACUCCAUUAUUGCAUCAUAGGCCUUUUUCUGGUCUUGGUUAAGAUUGUUUAGUAUGAUUUUGUGCUCAUCCUUGAGUUUGUCCAUGUCGUAGUUGACCUCUUUGUUUAUUAGUCUGUUCCCAAGUUCUUCUAGCUCUGCGGCAUAUGGUAGUUCUAUGUCUGGAUAGUCCUUUCGUGACUUUCCUACUUGCCUCAUCAGUUUUUCUAUCUCAAUCAGACCAUACGCUUUCUUAUGUGUGUUUAUAAGCCGAAGUGUUGGAAAGUUUAGAAUAGUCCUUCUUUUGUAUUGCAUAUCUUCACACAACGCCUCCCAUGUUGAAUCCCACAAUACCUUUGGGUUUGACUUCGCAAUGGGACAAUAUGGUGGUGAAUAACUGACGCAGUUGUGUUCCGGAUGCCCAACUUGAUGCUUCAUUGAUACAGUCAAUCCACUCGGUGUCAUCAUCGAUAAAUCUAAGGGCUUGGCAUGCUGAUUUGUAUGUUGGCUGAAUGACUCCAUCAACGGUCCUAAUGUCCUCAAAUGAUGUGCAUCCUUUCUUGGUGUUUAGAAGCAUCCUCAUAUGAUAUCUCUCGCCACUUACGGGAUGUGCAUAGUAGAUUCUUCCAAUUGCAUAGUCCCUUUUUCGCUUCUGCCAACAUUUUGUUUCGCUUUUCCAUACAAACUUUGUAGGGAAUUCUGCGUAAGUCAAUCCUUUUCCUAGCUCGUAUAUUUUAUUUGCCUCCAUCCACUGAGUGAACUUGGUGAUUUUAGAUCCGUCCCUUGUUACUAUCUUUUCAAGAUCAGUGGAGUCUGGAAAAACGACUUGUUGCUCAUUUUCAAGAUGGAAAGGUAGCCUCUCAACUGCUGGAUCGCGAUACUGAAGAUCAAACUGAAAUAUCCUCCAUCAUGCUUCUGAUGUUGAUAUGUAUCUCAUCUCUAGGUAUUUCUUGAUCUCGUCAGUUUCGUUUGUCAUGCCCCUUUCCUUGAGUAAGGCUGUAACAUGCUCAUCAUCUUUAUGGAUAUACUUAAAUAGGUACUUGAUUGAUCUGGACCUAUUGCACCACUCGACAUUUAUGUGAGCUUGAUACUUGACCAGAAGGUUCCGGUUGUAUGGCAUGACAAAUCUUUUGUCGAGCAUCACCCCUCCUUUUUUUAUCUGCCUUCCGUCAUCCCUCCUUUUAUAUACUGGAAAUCCAUCCUCGUUAAUGGUAGUGCUGACAUUGUAUCUUUUUGGGAAAUGCUUGGUGCAUCUAUGGUCCACCAUGCAUGGUGAGUUUUUCUUAGCCUCUCCGCACGGGACAUGCAUCAUGAAGUUCUCAACAGCUUCAAAUGACUUUGGAUCCUCAUCCUUGUUUGGGAUCUCAGCGCUUAUUAUUUUGUCGAUUUGCGAUGGUUCUAGGUACUUGUCUUUGUCCUUCAAAAAUAUUAGUAUGUGGGCAUGCGGGAGUCCUCUCUUCUGGAAUUCUAUUGUGUAGAUGACUGCAGUUGAUUAAUAGUUUGUCAGAUUUAGCUAAAAUUGGAAUGCAUGUUACUAAAGAGCUAGAAUCUGACGGAGUAUAAGAUGAUGCAUGUUUCUAAAGAGCAAGAGUCUGACGGACUAUAAAAGAUGAUACAAGAAAGAGUAAAGAUUGAUAGUCAAUGUGACUUACUUUCAACUAUUUCUCCAAAGUAUUUCUUUUCUUUUAUGUCUCUCAUUAGCUCCUUCAGUUUGAUCAUAAAUACUCUGUCCACAAUAUCUGGCCGAUCGGCUAGCUUUUGGUCACCUCCCGCUUCAUCUAGCAUGUAUUGGAUCUCAGGCCACUUUGCAUUGCAUGUGAAUGUUAUAAAUAGGUCUGGGUAUCCAGCCCAACGACAUAUUGCAAAGGCCUCUUGCAAAUAUUGUGCCUUGUUUCUUCUACCACCUGUAAAAGAUGAAGGCACAAUUAUCCUCUUUCCAACUUGCUCUGUUCUUGUGUCCCCUCGCUCAAUCGCAUCCUGCAAUCCACUGUAAAGUUCAGCUCAUAGCUUUCCUUGAUUGUGUCGGAUCCAGUUUAGUCUAUUUUGCUCGAUACAUGUGUAUACAUCCACCCAAAAUUACAGUGACAAAUGCCCGGACUUAAGCAGUAACAUUCCUUGAUCAGGACGUUGCUGUAGGUAGAAUGCAUAGUAGUCCAACAACGUUAUGUAUUUCCUGCUGUUUGUACCUCCUUUUGUUUUCUUGUAGGGUAUCUCAAGUUUAAAACCAUCUUCUCCAUAUGGGAACAACAGCGGAUAUUGCAUGGACAUGAAUUUCGGGUGGAUCUCAAAUAUCCUUUGCGGCUCCAUAUUUUUGUACUCAACAACAAUUUCACGUCCUUCACUCUCUCCGGUUGGAUCUCUUACUACCAAUGCUGCAACUUCAAAUGCGGAUGGAAGGUUGUGUGUUUCGUUCCUUUUGCCUAGUAUCUGAAGUGUGUAAUCAUGGUAGUCUCCUUCUUGGAAUCUAUCUCUUGCCAUUCUGAAUGUUUUUGCGAGGAUGUUGUUGUCGUCGAGCAUUAUUUUCAGUUCUUUGACGAUGUUAGGGUCCACUGUUGGUUUAUUAUCAUUGCAUCUUGACGCACUUAUCCUGUUUUCCACCUCAUUUUCGGUAUCAUAGAUGUAUAGCUGUGCGAACCGAGGUUUGUCUGUAUCUUGAGGCAAAAGAGUUCCGAUAUGGUGGUAGUUUGGUCCAUGCAAACGAAAAACUUAAGGUCCUUUGCGAGUGUUUAUUUCCUUGUCCACAGCUCCUCCUAUCGAUGUGAAUGAAAACAUUGAGUUGUAUGACCUUAUAUUUUCUUUGAAGUUUACCGAAUCCUGCCCUUCACUUCUUAAGAGGUUUCUAAGGUAUGGUGGAGGUUCUCUUAGUGGCCGCAGAUCAAUUUUCCCUUCUUUGCAGCAUAUUCCAAAAGAGGGUGUCGUAGUUCCUUUGUUUGAAUUUAAUCUUUCUUCGCACCACAGCAAUGCUUUGCAAUAUUGGCAUUUGUAUGUUGGCCUUCCGAAGUUCCAUGGCUUGCUAUUAGCACUUGUCGAGGUUCUGGUACUGUUGUUGUCUCCAACAUUGACUCUAGUGUUGUUUUUGUUGGUUUCGCUUCUGGCAUGCUUCAAUUCCCUAUCUUCUUCUUCAGCAUUAGACUUUCUAAAUCGUUUAGGAGCCUCUGUGUUCGCGUUUCUUCUUCCCUCUGCAGUCUUUGUCCGCUUUGUACUCCUUGAGUUUAGAGGUUGUUCUUUCUUUCUUUUUGUUUGGUGAGCUGCUGGGUCUAACGUAUGUUGGGCUCUCAUAUCUGCAAAUGUGAUUUCGUCAGUGCGUAUAGUUUUCUUAACAUAGUAUCAUGUAAUAUGAUUUAUGUUGUACUCCCCCCGUAAAGAAAUAAAAGAGCGUUUAGAUUACUAAAGUAGUGAUCUAAACACUAUUAUAUUUCUCUACAGAGAGUGUGCUUAAUAGUGUUUUGCCUUUGAAGGCAUGCAAGUGCAUUUGGUGACAUAUGAGACUACCAAUGGAUGUUGUCACAUACAGUACAUCUGGAGAUUAAUGUUGUUUAUUUGGUAGGGAACUAUAUAUCAAUAAUUGUUCAACCGUGUUUCUCAUUUUGUAGCUUUCACAUUAUUAUCAUGGUAGUGUUAGGAUGCAUGAAAAAAAAGAGCUUUAUAGUUCAGUAUGAGAAGAGUUUUGAUGCAAUGUUGAGCUGAGAUCAAAAUGCAGGCACACACAUGAAGAAUUUCAUGGGGAUAUUACCUGAGGCUGAUGGUGCCGAUGUUGUGUCUUUAGUUCAUUGGACGUUUCUUUGUGCCUUUGAUCGUUUGGGUGUCGCCGGCGUAUAUUGGAUGCAAGUUGCUGGAGUUGUUGCCAUACCUUCAAUUUAGCGGUCCUUUCGUGUGUUUGAUAUUCCCGACAUCAUGAAAAAGUAGCUAUUGAGAAAGUGCAUCAUGGGUCAUUUAUGAAUGUCUGUCUUGUAAAAUUAUGGUUGAAUGAUGAUUAUGUGAUAUAAGCA